AACAAGGAGCUCUGUGUGAGGUGGUACUGCUGCUGCGACGGUGGAGCAGGGCACUGCGGUGGCUUGGCGUCGCGGCUGAGGUACUCGGGCGCCGUGGUCGUGUCCGCAGCCGAGGACGGCUGGUACCGUUCUUGCGACCGGCCGUGGCUGUGGCUUGGCUCGACGGGGCACCAGGCGGCGUCGUGGCUCCGGGGCGAGCCGAGGUGCAGGUGCGCGGGGGCGAGGGCGUGAGCUCGAUGUCGGGGUCACAGGUGCGGCUCGGAGGUGCCCGACACGGCGAGGGCGCUGAGGGCGAGGCGCUCGGGGUCGCGGCGGCUCGGCAGUGGUCGUUGUGGUCGCGGUCACCACGGCCGCGGCAUGGACGGAGACAGAGGCGUCGCGGGUGACGUCGCAGGGUGGACGCGGCCACGGCGAGGUCCAAGACGCGGGCGCGUCCCGCUGCUGCCCGCGGUGCUCGAAGACGGGGCUCGGAGAAGUGCUCGCGGGCGAGGGCGCACGGCGUCGGGGUCGCGGCGUGGUGCCGAGGACGGCGUGGCACGGUCGCGGUCGGGGCGCUCGGGCGCCGUGGUGGCGGGCGGCUUCGAGGUCGCCGGGCGAGGGUACGGAGCUCCUGUUCGGCGUCGCGGCGGCUCGGCAGUGGCGCGGCUCCGGUGCGGCGGCUUGGGAAGGGAGGUGGAGAAGGGGACGGCGGCGCCAUGGGGAAGGGAGAUGGCGGCUGUUGGGAAUGGAGCAAGCAGUGGCGGCGCGAUUCUUAUAGCGGUGCGAAGCUAGGGUUCCGAGGCCGUCUCGACGUCCGCGCCAUCGAUGCGACAGUCGAGACACGCAGCAGCGGAUCCUGGUGCUUGUACGGACGCCGAGGCAGGCAGGCGCGGGCGCAUUCCAAGCGGCGGCGGCGGCUGUCCUGGGAGCAGGCGCUCCUAGGGUUGGGGCGCAGGGGGCGCCACCUGCUGGGCCUAACAGGCCGCGACUUGGGCCAGGGCAGGGGGAGCGGAGAGGAGCUGGGCCGGGGCAAAGUGCGAGCAGGCCGGCUGGGCCGCGCGCGCUGGUUGGGCUGGUCUGGCUGCUGGGCCAGCAGAGGGAGAGAAAGAGAAGGAGUUGGAGCCCAAAAGAAUAAGGAAGGCUUUUCCAUUUUGCUAAAAUGGUUAAGAGGAAAAGAAAAAAGAGAUUGAGAUGAGUUGCCAUGAAUUUAAGAUAAUGGGAUUUUGAGAAGAGAAUUUCGACAAAAGCUCAGAAGGAUCAAAGGAGUUUGAGACGUACUCCAACGAAAAGGUUGAGAAGGGAUCCGCUUCACCUUUGAGAUAGGCUCAACAGAGAUUCAGAAAGACUUGCUACGAAUUUGUGCACUCAAAACCCUAAUUUAAGACUCAACUCGAAAUCGACUCACGAACGAAAGCACUCGCCUACAAACAAAUCUACAUGUAUGCCACGAUUUGUUAGUGGGUUAGGAUCGAGUUAGAUCUAAAAACUAUAUGCUACACAUGAUUACAGGAAAAAUUUUAAAAAUUUCAUAUUUUUGGUUUACGUAAAAAUCUGGGAUGUUACAGUCCACCCACCUUACAGGAAUCUCGUCCCCGAGAUUUAGGCGUUGCUCGGUUGGUGAAGAAACGAGGGUGUCGUUCCCAAAGCCUUUCUUACUUCUGAGUUGUUUCCCUUUAGUGUGAUCGCUCCACAAACCUUUUCCAAAAAUAGGAGUGAGUCAUAUUCCGAGUGUAUCCAAGGAUCACUUGCAGUUGUUGGGUAUCCAAAUUUUUACACCAGGGCGAUAGGUGUCCAAGAAUCGCAUGGGGUUGAUGAACAUCUGGCUCUCAAAGAGAGUAUGGCAGGCUUAAACAUAGCUAGGGUUGUUGGCUUUCACCAGCUGUUUUUCAUGCAUCAUCUUUUGAAAAAAGCUUUUGAAGGGAGGGAUUUUUUUGGGAAACAGGUUUCAAAAAUAGGGUGAAAUCGCUUUUACAAAGUCAAAGGUUUUUUUUUGACUUCAAAUUGAAGAGAGCUUUUGAAGAGGGUUGAAGUCAAUGCAAGUUUUGAAAACCAAAUCUUCUGAAGGUUUUGUUAUAAAAGAUUUCAAACCAAGAGAUUUUAAAACUCUUUUAUUUUACUAUUAUUAUUAUUUUAAGAUUUUUGAUGUAAAAGAUUUCAAAUCAAGAGACUUUGAAACUCUUUUAGUUUUCUAAAUGAGGUGUUGCUCUCUUUUAUUUGAAUUAAACAAUCUAGUUUUGAAAAUGGUUAGAAAUCAUUUCUCUCUUUUUUUUAGAUAGAGCUUUCGCAAACAAAACACUUUUGAAACUUGAAAGUUUUUUUUUUAGAAGAUGGCUGGUAACACCUUUUGAAAGAUAACUUGUUUUUAAAUCAUUUCAUAAAUAGCUUUUGAAAUAAAUCGAGUUGAGAAAAGAGUUAAAGUUGCUUUCAUUUUGAAAAGGAAAGAUAUUGAGAGAGUUUUGGAACACUUUUCCAUUUGAAAUAGAGAUGCUUUUGUUAAAGAGGGGACUUUUUCAACCAAAAGGAGGGAAGCUUUUUCAACCAAAUGGGGCAACUUUGAAGACAAGUUUAGUUGGAAGCCAAAAAUAGUUUUAAAAUAGAUGGGUAAGACAUGAUGCAUCAGCUUUACACCCUUUUUCAACUCUGUUAGCCAAGGUCACAUAUCUAGUCUCGGGACGGUCUUAGGUUUAGCCGGCUAGGUUGGACGAAAUCCAGAGUCUUCCUCGCAUAAAACAGGUUCUAUGACCUACAAUCAGACAACAAGAGGCCAAAGAAACACAACAACAUAAGAUCCAAGCACUCAAACAACAUUACAACUCCUAAUGCAUAGUGUUGACUUGAGGCGACUCUCAAAUCUUCAAAGUCUCACACAGCUAUCGAUCUAGCGUGGGCGGGUAUGGGAAAAGAUUCCAACGGUCAACUUUAUGAAACAGGGAGGUCAAUUAGCAGCAGAGUUCAAGGCAGAGGGGGAAAACAAGUGUUAGCAUUUAUAACUCUGCAAAAGAUUGCAGGUUUGGCUUCUAAACUAGUGUUUGGUACUAAUGGUCUCAUCCUAGGGUCAAGUAUGGCUCUGAUACCAAGUGAAUUGACCUAGAUUUUUCCACAAGGGGAAAAUCCACAGAUUCGAAUUAUAAUGUGAUAAUGCAAAAAUUGAGCCAUCACAUUAUCAUAUAUCAGCUGUUACCAUAGUCAUACAUCGUGAAAAACAAGAUUACAACACAUUUACUUUACAACUCUUGGUCAACAAGCCUAUUACAUCGUUUUUCUAGCGGAAACACACACGGGUCUAUAUCAGAGUUGAUGUAGCGCAUCAGCGGUGAAGGCUCCUCCUUCACGGGCAAUCAUCAGAGUCGGCGUAGUUUAUCAGCGGGCGUAGCCUUCAUCUGCGAACCAAACUUGAGCGCAGGAACGAGACCACCAAAUCCUUCUAUUCUCCGUAGUUAUCGUCAUAGACCACGUUCAAAACCUGCUAAACAACUUUCAUUACGAUUUGUACUGGCCACUGGCUCCCACCCUAUGCUUUUGCGUAAGCUUUGUGGUAAGUGGAAUGCAAAGGGUAGAUCAAGAGGCCUAUAUAUGGCUGUAGUUUUUCCUAUGCAAGUUCAUCAAUAUUUUAUAAUAAUAAUUCAUCAAGUGUUAUUCCAUCUCAUCCACACAUCCAUCCAUCCAUCCACCCAUCCACACAUCUCACCACACUCUCACUCUCUAGGCGGCAAGUACGACUCCCGCUCGUGCCUUGCCUCAACGGCCAACGCCGGAUCCAACACAAACCCAGGGGAAGGUAGAAAGGACUCCUCUCACUAGUCAAGUGAAGCUGUACUUAGGAAAGGUCCAUAGCCGACGAAUCGGCAUAUGUAUCGAUCGAUCAACCAAACUCUGUAGAGGUUUACACUAACCACAAGAUCACCAUCAUCGACGGUGGCCCCCGUCUAGGCUGAUUCCGAGCUGCCUCCCAACUAAAUACGAUGCCACCCUACCACUCAGAACUGGGGCCAUACCGGUGUACCACCGGCUUGCUGAGACUGUGAGGUGUAGUACCGGGCCCCCAAGGUCACUACGCUGCCUUAGGAGGGUGUGGGUCCUCAUGCCCGUACCUCCCUACACUAUCUGCUAUCAACCUAGUAGUAGUGGCACCGCACUAGCUGGUCGUACAUCCGUCCCGUUCCAUGGCUAAGGCGAGUGGCGUGUAAGGCUCCCUAAGACCCGGUCCACAGAACAUAUCAGUCCUUAGGGUGACCAAACAGGAUAUCUUCACGAGGGGCCAACCGAUGCCCCGCUCGACGGGACAUCCGAUUACCCCGUGCUAAACAGCACCUCCCAUCCCGGCGCUUCGUCCCACGAAGACACUCCACUCCGGGACCUCUCCCUGUCACAUGUACCCGCCACAGGUAUCUCUCGUGGAGAACGCCCAGGUAGCGUCCCCCGGCAAGACUUGUCCCAAGACUCGUCGUAGAUCCUGCUCGGUCGACUCGACCCUCACCACACACCCAAGACACACGCCAAGAUCUCCCCAAAUCCAUUAUCCAUUUCUUAUCCAGUUAUCGGCACCACUUGCCUUAUACACUCACAUCCAAUCCUCCACAAUGCAUCACAUCACAGAUAUAAUGCGUAGUAGAAGCAGUAGCAAGUAGUAAGCAAGCAUCUAACCUGACAGUGGGUGUGCGAGGGUUAUAGGUUGCAACAAGGCAAUGGCUCACAAGCAUUUCUAUCAUGCAACCUAUCUCAGUUCAUUUGCAUAAAAGUAAAGCACUAGCAUCUACAUUAUUGCAUGUCUAAUAGGAUUCUACGAGGUUGGGUGGGACGUGGCACCUGUUGAAUGUUAUUUCCAAGAUCCACAGUGCACUUGUAGUUGUUCUCAUCCGAGAUCCUCCUUUCUGCAUGUCCUCCCUCCAACGGGUCCUGAUCCGAUCAAAGCUAACCCCAAAGCGACUACCUCGUAAGCGACAAAUAAGGCGAAACAAUCAGACCACUAGACCUAGAAAGACUGCGAAGAAGGCAACAGAACACUGAAGAACAACUACACUAAAAGAGCACCGAAAGGAAGACGGCUUAGCCCUCUCGGCGGAUAUCCGAUCCCUAGGCUAAAAGAAACGGGAAUGGUUGUUCACUAAGUACAAGCUAGAGUCUUAGCCUAGCCGGUACUUCCCGGGUCAAUCGAGUCGACCUGCACAGCUUUAGUAACAAUGGCGUAGACUCUAACUUAUUCUAAGUAAACACCAUGGUUUACAGACCUUCGAUCCAAGCGUCACAGAGACUGAUGUGAACCAAACGGUUGUAAGCACAAGAGAUUCCGAUCUCUCUCAACCCGUACGCCAUUAUGAUUGACGAGAGUCCAGAGAGGGUGGAAGGCGAGAGAAAGAGUCGAGGAGUGGCCCCCUCCUAAUCCAGUCGCCAUGGUAAGAGACGGGGAAUUAGAAAGAGUGACGCACAAAGAACACGAGUGCUCAAGCUUCUUGUAGGGUACCACGACCUAGGUACACUGAAUGCACUAAGACAUCGCCAGGGUUCUUAGCGGUGCAGUUGUCACCACGAGAACCAAGGAACUGCUACGGUCGAAUAGGUACAAGCAUACAAGAGUUUAAACACAGAGAACCAAAAAGGCAAGGAAAGACACGGGUUUCACUUUCCAUUGAUCCGCUCGCCAUAGCAACGACGGGAGUCGCGGGAUUGGAAACAAAACAUUAAACAAGCAAAAAGGGCUCAAUCCACGUCUUACUGGAUGGACGGGAAUUGGGAACAAGAGAGAAGAAGAAUGGAGUCCACGUUCUUUCGACCAACUCAUCAUGGAACGAACGACGGUUGGACAAAAAAAAGGUACGACCCCAUGAUCCAAACCCACUCGUAGGGCACCAUGACUGUGCAUCUAAAUCAGCACAAGGCUAUUCCUAAGGCCCAUAGCGAUGUGGUUGUCACCGCUAGGUCCGAGGGAAUGCUAUAGUCGAAGUGGUACAAGCAUACGAGGUGGUUAGGAUAAACACGGGAGAAAUGGGGUAAAGCCCGAUGGUCAUGGCAAGAUGGACUUGCGUCCAUGAGCUUCACCUAACGAGUUGGUCUCCGUCAAUUCCACAAAGGUUGUUCCUAAUCUGUAUCCCACUAGACUAGGCCACAUGGGUCUCGAGUGUGCAGGUAAGAACCGCGUCGAUGACGACAACGAGUUCACGAUGGCCAUGUCCGAGGGACGGGAAUAGGAGCUAACAAGCGUAGCGUGACGAAGUCAACUAAACACGGGGAAACGAGUGACGCUCGACAUCACGAUCACGGCGGGACGAACCCACGAUCGAAAUGGUCGCACGCACUACCAUUUUCCCUAACCGGCUCGAAGGCUCGGUCCUCGGGCAAUUAACACAAAAACAACAACAACACGAGAGAAGGGACAUGCUUGGCAUUACGGCCAUGGCGAGACGAACUCGCGAUCGCAACAUUCAAACACGUCACUCUCUCAACCGGCUCGACGGCACGGUCCACAACGACAAGAACAAAUGCACAAAUUGCAACACUAACAAGACGACGACUCGGAGUAGCACAUUUCCAUAGCGACCAAAAGAGAUAGAGUAGACCGGCGCGAAGGCACGUCACAGGCAAAGAUAUAAUAGAGACAGAUCAUGCAUUAAACGAGAUUGGAGAUGAAUGAUCAAGUACGAAUGAUAGAUAACGAAAUGAUGUACAAAAGCAAAAGGGGUUUUUCGUCGGCGUCGACUAGGGUUCGACCUUGGUGAUGGCAGGGCAGGCGAGGCUUGUCGCGGAGCGCCCGGGUGAACUUGGCUAGCUGCAGCGUGUCCUGGUCCGCUAUGGCGUGCUGAUGGAGGUCGGAGUUGGGCAUGGCAGCACGAUCCAGGAGAUGUCGCGGCUCUAGCAAAAUGAUACAGCGAAGCCACUACUCCCCUGCAACAGUGAAGGUUCACGGCGCGAAGGCCGGUCUCAGAUAGGAGCACAUCGACAAUGUGAAAAGGAAAAGCUUGGAGUUUCGGUUUCUCACCAGCGACAACAAGGAGCUCCGUGUGAGGUGGUACUGCUACUGCGACGGUGGAGCUGGGCACCGCGGUGGCUUGGCGUCGCGGCUGAGGUACUCGGGCGCCGUGGUCGUGUCCGCAGCCGAGGACGGCUGGUACCGUUUGCGCGACCGACCGUGGCUGUGGCCUGGCUCGACGGGGCACCAGGCGGCGUCGUGGCUCCGGGGCGAGCCGAGGUGCAGGUGCGUGGGGGCGAGGGCGCGAGCUCGACGUCGGGGUCGCAGGUGCGGCUCGGCGGUGCCCGACACGGCGAGGGCGCUGAGGGCGAGGCGCUCGGGGUCGCGGCGGCUCGGCAGUGGUCGUUGUGGUCGUGGCCACCACGGCCGCGGCAUGGACGGAGACAGAGGCGUCGCGGGUGACGUCGCAAGGUGGACGCGGCCACGGCGAGGUCCAAGACGCGGGCGCGUCC
rnacentral:lncRNA from 1 species